GUUUGAUCCUGGCUCAGAUUGAACGCUGGCGGCAGGCUUAACACAUGCAAGUCGAGCGGAUGAAGGUAGCUUGCUACUGGAUUCAGCGGCGGACGGGUGAGUAAUGCUUAGGAAUCUGCCUAUUAGUGGGGGACAACGUUCCGAAAGGAGCGCUAAUACCGCAUACGUCCUACGGGAGAAAGCAGGGGACCUUUGGGCCUUGCGCUAAUAGAUGAGCCUAAGUCGGAUUAGCUAGUUGGUAGGGUAAAGGCCUACCAAGGCGACGAUCUGUAGCGGGUCUGAGAGGAUGAUCCGCCACACUGGGACUGAGACACGGCCCAGACUCCUACGGGAGGCAGCAGUGGGGAAUAUUGGACAAUGGGGGGAACCCUGAUCCAGCCAUGCCGCGUGUGUGAAGAAGGCCUUUUGGUUGUAAAGCACUUUAAGCGAGGAGGAGGCUACCUAGAUUAAUACUUUAGGAUAGUGGACGUUACUCGCAGAAUAAGCACCGGCUAACUCUGUGCCAGCAGCCGCGGUAAUACAGAGGGUGCGAGCGUUAAUCGGAUUUACUGGGCGUAAAGCGUGCGUAGGCGGCCAAUUAAGUCAAAUGUGAAAUCCCCGAGCUUAACUUGGGAAUUGCAUUCGAUACUGGUUGGCUAGAGUAUGGGAGAGGAUGGUAGAAUUCCAGGUGUAGCGGUGAAAUGCGUAGAGAUCUGGAGGAAUACCGAUGGCGAAGGCAGCCAUCUGGCCUAAUACUGACGCUGAGGUGCGAAAGCAUGGGGAGCAAACAGGAUUAGAUACCCUGGUAGUCCAUGCCGUAAACGAUGUCUACUAGCCGUUGGGGCCCUUGAGGCUUUAGUGGCGCAGCUAACGCGAUAAGU
rnacentral:rRNA from 1 species